ensembl:lincRNA
GCAACUUCUCCUAAAAGUUUUUGUUUUAGAUCAUUUAUGCAACUUUCUUUCAAAAAGUACUUAUCAAUUAUAUCAUUUUUCAUACCCAUUACAGCUAUAAAAAUGUGUCACAUUCAAAUUGUCUGGUAGAGCAAUUGUCACAUAGUUGUACUGUAUAUUAAUAUCUUGUUGUUACUGUAGAGUAUUAGCAAGGAAAAAUAUCCACAGACACUGAAUCAUCAGCCUAGUUUAAUUGCAGGUGUUCUAUAGCGUGUUCACUUAGACUAGUGGUAAAUUCAUAUGUAAAUGCCUUGUAGAUUUUGCCCCCAGUUUGUAAUGGAGUAACCUUAUUUAUGUUGGCGUAAUGCCUGUGUGAAAUGUGUCUCUCUCUUGACAGCUUCAACAGGAAUGAAGCAGAGGCAGAGCAGAAGCUAGUUGUGGCAAUAACUGAUCCUACAUAUGAGAUUUUGGUGGUAAUGAAUGAGGAGAAAUUUUCAAGAUGGGUGAGCACGAUACAACUCACAUCUGUCAACAGACUUCACAUGUGCGGGGUCGGCCAUAUGUCAUCACUCUGUGAGCAAGUCGUCUCUUCUGUGGGGAGUGUGGAGCUGAUAAAACACAUCCCCAUGCCCCUGUCAGUCCUGCAAAUACCAAUGCACAGUGAUGGCGAGGAGGCCACUUCAGUGUGGCAGACAUCAUACAGAAAUAUCGCCAAGUGAAUCGUGGCCUAAUGUCAGCCAGUUGAGGCUGAGAUGAGAACGACAGCGGAAGCAUGUCUGUAUGCAAUUGCAUUUCCAUCGCACACUGAGGAGCUAAUGGGCAGAAGUUCAUGCAGCGGGAGAGAAGAAAUGUAAAAUGAUGAGAACACUGUGUGAGGCAUUCUUCACAAUGUGUAACCCAGAUAAAUGGAAUGCAUAGGCGGCGUGGUGGAGCAGUGGUUAGCAUUGCUGAAUUAAAUUCUGGACCUGGGGUGCUGUCUGUGUGGAGCUUGUAAGUUCUCCCUGCAUUUGCAUGCCAGUAAAUAGUAAACUAUUUACAUCCUCCGUGUGCUCCAGUUCCUCCCACAGUCGGAAAACAUACUUUUAGGUUUGUUGCCUUGAGAUCUCGACUGACCAAUUUCCUGACCGAUCCCAUCAGCAGUAAAAACGAUUUGAUUUUUUUUGUUUUUCAAUGUCAGUGCAGUUUAUAUAGUUGUAAAACUUUUGGUCCUGCAAAAAUAAAACUCUUUGGUAUUACAAUUUGGUAUUGUAUAUAUAUAGGAAAUAUCAGUAUACUGUGAACUGUUAAACUAAAACUAACAAGCUAAGCAAGUAAAUACCAAAACAUGGCAAUAAUGCAAAACAAAAGACUUUUAGGGAUUGUGGUGAUAUUCUAACAUCACUACAGAAAUAAAUAUUUCAGGAGAAUACAUCAUUAAAUGAUGGGGCUUGCUUAUCUCAUAUCUUUAAAUCCUCCUAGGAGCUAUUGCAAGAUGUCCGUUCUAACACAGGAAUAAGAACUAUAUCAAACAUUAUAAACAAGCAGAGGCCAUUAGACCAAGCAUGCUCCUCUGGUGGCUGCAGCUGAUAGUAUUGCAGUAUCCCCAGGACACUCUUUCAACACCAAGGCCGGGCAUUUUGUUCCCUGACCCCAGAACCCUCUGUGUUAAGAGCCUCCUGCUUCAAGUUUGAAACGUGCAGCCUCUUACUUUCCAUUUGUGCUGCUGCUUUCGUUACUGUUCGACGGUGAAAAUGUACACUGAUUAGAGGUUUCCUGCCCCCUCUCCAAUUUAUAAGGACAGCCUGGCUGCUCACAAAAAUAAUUCUCAGGUAAAACAAGAGAAACUGAUGGGAUGCCUGUUGACGAAGAUGAAGAUGCUUGCUGAGCUGAGCACACAAUGUAUACGAUACGAUGGGAAGGUCAUGUAGUGAUGUAGGUGUGUUUCGGCUAUGUGCUAUAGGUGUUUUCAAUUGCGAAAACCAGUGUGUGCUACUCUGGGAGUAGAAGGAAAUAAUGUAAUUAUUGCUCACAUUCUGGGAAAAUGCUUAAGAAGUUCCGGGGAGUGUGUGGAGUUUGUGUGCAUUCCACAUGUUCCUGUGGCUAUUCUCCUGUUGAUCCGGUUUCUUCUGAGCUUUGAAAGGCAUGCUGGCUAGGCUGGCUAGGUUACUUGGCAUGUCUGAGCUGUCCCUAUGAGCUUGUGUGCCCAGUAAUGGGCAGGCCACCUGUUAAGUGUGCAGUUCUGCUUCUGCCCUGUGAAUCCAGGAUACACAUCAGGUUGCUGUAGCGCUGACCCAGGCUAUGGGGCGUGGCAGUGAGGAGAAACCGCAGCUGUGUGCUUGUGGGUGUGUGCGUGUGCACAGAUCUCAAGUCUCGGCUUGUCGCAGCAUGAGAUCUUCCUGGAUUACUGCCACGUCCGGGUUUCCAGAUUUCUUGAAAUCUCUCAUGGCUCUAAGACAAAUAUCCUCUUGGAGCACACUGGGAAUCUCUGCAUGCCGAGUGCCCUACCCUUCUCUUUUAGCUUUUGGCCUGUAUUCAUUAAAUGUUGAUGAUUUCUUUAAAGAAAAAGCGUAUGUUACAAUCUCGUUUGUAACAUAAAGGUUAAUAUAAAGAUUACAAAUGAGAGGAACCCAUCUGGCCCAGCUAGCCACCUUGCUAAUUGGUGUAUUAUGGACCUAAGAAUCCAAGAAGUUUCUAGAAAGGACAUUGACUUCAACAAAAAUGAUUGGUAGCUUGUUCCAUACUCCCACAACCUUUUGUGGAAAGAUUGCCUCUGUUUUCAGAUUUAAAUGCACUUCCACAUAGUUUCCAUUUUCGUCCUCUGGUUCAUGUUUCACCAUUUAUUCUGAAGAAGUAUCCUCGUAAUCUUCAAAUCUUCAAAGGUUCCAAACAGGCCAGAAAGGUCAAAUGGCAUUCUAUCACUUGUAAACUUUCAUAGUUCUUCUGUUCCAUUCUUUCAGAAUGGUUCCUCUUUUCUGGCCAGCAUUCCCUGUACUGUAUGAAUGGACUCCUAUUUUAGGUUUAUAGGUUAUAUUUUUAAUACCCCCGUGGAAAACUCUGUUCUUGUCUUCAUUCAUUUAGGAAAAUCUUUUUGAAUUUUCUUUGCAUCUUAUAUGGUGUUUGCAAA